UUAAAAUAUCACGACUGGUAUAUUACAUUACUUGAAAAAAGUUCAUAUUUUCGGUAUAUUCGGUAAUAAAAUUUCGCGAUGUGAAAUCUAAAGUACAUCGCAAAAAUAGGUGACAUAACGAUAUACACACUACAAAUAACGCAAGUAGAUUGAUCAUUUUGUAUAUAAAAUAUAAACAAUUCACUACGCAUGCACAAUUUGAAUUCCUGGGUUUACCACGUGACGAUGAUGAUCAAUCUACCGGUACGUGCGUUAUUUAUAGUUAACUGGUAGUUACCUGGUAGACAUACCCAGUAAGAUUUAUUACCGAAUAUACUGAAAAAAUGAAAGCUUAACAACUUUUUUCAAGUAAUGUAAUAUACCAGUCGUGAUGUUUUAAUCAAUAUGAACUAAUAAUUGUAAAAAAAAGUAUUUUAGAACGUUCCUUUUUUCGUCAUUCGUAGUUGACAGACAGUCCCUUUAAACAGCGAAUGUUUUGAUAAUGUCACGUGCACUGUAUGCGUUUUGUCACAAAAAGGUACCGCUUGGGUGUCUGUUCCCCACAUUCUCCUGGGAAUUUUGAACAAUCAUGUCGACUUAUAAAGUUGAACUUAUUUUGACUGUGGCGAGCGAAACCGAUCUGAAAACUGUAAUUGAAAGAGCAACGGAGGAUAAAAUGGCCUUCGAUGUGAUGGGAAGAGAACUUCGCUUCCAGGACAGUGACGAACUAAAGAUGUUAAAGGAAUGGUGCGAAGGCCAGGGAAUCAAACUUAUUUAAGAUUCCGACAUCAACUAUCAACCGGCAAAAUUUGACGACGGACAUGGCAAACCUGGCAGUCGACAAUAGGUAUUUCAACUUCUAACGGCACAAAUCGACGACGGACCUUCGCAUGGCAAACCUGAUUGGUGGAUUUAUGCAUGGACUUUUUCGACUCCCAGUCCAAGCGGAUAUAUCGAACUUAAGUUAUUGACACAUACUAUUACAAUGUGCAAAUACACCAUGCACGAAAUAUUCUAAAUCAGUUACUACAACUCAACUCAACAUAGACAGUUCUUUGAUGUAUGUAUAUUUAUAGCUAAAAACGAAGUCUGAGAGAGAAAAUUCUAACGUAAUUUGGACAUUUUUAUCAAUGUGCAACUGUGCAAAAUAUUUCGGAUGUUUCUAUAUCUUAAAAAUGUUUUUUUUUUGCCGUGAUCGGUGGAAUUGUGACAUUAAUAAUGGAUAAACCUAGUAUCAUAUUCAUCUGUUAAAUAUCAGCUAUAUAACAUAUAUAACAUGUAAUAUAUAUGAGUCGCGUUCUAGGAAAACCGGCCUUAAUGCAUGUGCGUAAAGUGUAAAGUGGAGUCGGCACAGGCUAAUCUGGGACAAUACUUUUCGCCUACACUCGAUUAUCGUUUAAAAGAGACCUCCUUUAAACAAAACAUUCCAUACACGCGGAAAGUGUCAUAAGUGUCAUGUCUCAUUAGACUGUGCGGAACGCACAUGCUAAUCUGCGACGACACUUAAUGCACGUGCAUUAAACCCAGUUUUCCCAGAACGCGACUCAUAUAUAACAUAUAUCAACUUCAAACCAUAGAUUUUUGAUGUUGAACUUUCUACAGUAAAUAUCUAUUGUCGACUGUCGCUUGUACGCUAGUUAGUGUAAAAGUUAUCUUAAAGGCAACAGACUAGAUUUUACACCUGGGAGAGGAUAAAUGUUUAUAAAAUAUCCUUGCUGGAAGUUUCAAGAAAACCUUGCAACUAUAACCUAAUUUAACAGCUAUAUAAUAUCUAUCAACUUCAAACUAAAGAUUUUUGCUAUUGAUCUUUCUACAGUAAAUGUAUAUUGUCGACUGUCGCCUGUAAGCUAUUUAAUAUAAAGGUAGUACUGAAAAGUAUGUCCCAGUAUAAUAUAUCUAUAUUGUGUGUUUGUUUGCAUAACUGAUAUUUUUUCCUAUUUGUAGUUUAGUUUCUUUUUAUAUUAAACUUUUAUCCAAAGACGUU